UACGGAGGGUGCAAGCGUUAUCCGGAUUCACUGGGUUUAAAGGGUGCGUAGGAGGGUAGGUAAGUCAGUGGUGAAAUCUUCGAGCUUAACUCGGAAACUGCCGUUGAUACUAUCUAUCUUGAAUACCGUGGAGGUGAGCGGAAUAUGUCAUGUAGCGGUGAAAUGCUUAGAUAUGACAUAGAACACCAAUUGCGAAGGCAGCUGGCUACACAAAUAUUGACACUGAGGCACGAAAGCGUGGGGAUCAAACAGG
rnacentral:rRNA from 1 species